rnacentral:rRNA from 1 species
UACGUAGGGCGCAAGCGUUGUCCGGAUUUAUUGGGCGUAAAGAGCGUGUCGGCGGCCAGGUCGGUCUGCUGUGAAAACUCGAGGCUUAACCUCGAGCUGUCGGCGGAAACCAUCUGGCUAGAGUCCGGAAGAGGAGAAUGGAAUUCCCGGUGUAGCGGUGAAAUGCGCAGAUAUCGGGAAGAACACCCGUGGCGAAGGCGGUUCUCUGGGACGGUACUGACGCUGAGACGCGAAAGCGUGGGGAGCGAUCCGG